GAUUUUGAUAAAUUUGAUUUGGUUUUCUUCAAAUUUUGAAUUUUUCCUGUUGGAUUGUUUACAUGCAGGUUAGUAUUUGUAUAUAUUUUGAUGGUUGCUCCAUUGUUGCUUCUACGAACUGCUCUGCGUCUUGCUUUCUUCAGUCCUCACUAUUUGAAGAAGCUACUAAAUCAGAGGAUAUAACCGGCAUAGCCUGUUAAGGAGGAAAAACGGAUUCUUUCUAACAAAUAGCCCCACCCAGUGCUCUUUUGUAUACGGACUAACACUCUAUUGAAGGAACUGAAUUUCAAGAUACCUGCAGGGUACAUCAAAAUCUCCCUAUGCUAUGAUUUUUGGAAAGAGUUGCGUGCGUCAUGUUAGCGAUUUUUACUGACCAUUGAUCUUCUGGCUAAAAAUACGGUUCACUACCAGCUAUAUUGUGAAUAACUCGAAAAACAUGAAGUCUUCACUACUGGAAAUGAAUUACUCCCAAAGGUGCAGCCUCAAAACUGUUAGAUCUUUUUGUAAAUUAGCUCUUCAUAGUAUGUUUCUUUGCAAUUUGUUAGAUUUGAUCGGCGGCUCAAUAUUGUUGGUGGCCUAAAGCAAAAUUUUGAUGAGAGGCCUUAAUUUUUUAUUUGAUUGAAGUGUAUUUUCCUAACUUUUUUAGAUAUUAUUAAUAGUUUUCUUAAAAUA